UAUCAUGGAGAAGAGAAGACAGAGCUGGCCCAGGAAAGGAGAAAAGGACCAAGACUAUGUUUGAAGCAUUUACUGCUGUAAAGUGGUUCAUUAAAAUUGGCUGCUUCCAGGAACCCCACAUCUACCGCACCCCCGUUAGUUUUACAUGGCUGCCCCAUAGCUCGCAAGAUUUCAGAUUUCUUCCUGAUAAAAAAAGAAUCCACCCACUCCUCUGGUCAUCACCCAUCUUUUCUCUGUAUCUAUGAGUAUGGGUUUUGAUUUAUUUGAUAUGAUUUUUACAUACUGCACGGUCAUUUUAAUACUGAAGCAUUUUAUUAUAAAUGAAGCUGUCCUGUACAAUAUAGACUCUCAGAGAGAGAGAGAGAGAGACACUAAUUCUAAAUUCAUCACUGAAAUCUGCCCAAGAGAAUAUCCUUCUUAACUUGGCAUUUUUUUUUUUGGGAGAGUCCUUAGUCUUUUGAAUUGAAGUGGUGAGAGUUUACACCCUGUCUUGUUCCUGACUAUAGAAGAAAAGCUCUCAUUUUCUCCCCACUGAAGAUUAUAUUAGCUGUAAGUUUUUCACAUAUGGACUUUAUUAUGUUAACAUAUGUUCCAUCUAUCUUUACUCUAUUGAGGGAUUUUUAUCAAGAAUGGAUAUUGUACUUUGUCAAGUGCUCUUACUACAUCU